rnacentral:tRNA from 1 species
UGCUGCUGGAGGACGUCGGGGUGCCGCUGCCGGCGCUGGGGGCGCUGGUGAGCGGGAUCGCGGCGAUCGCCGCCGAGCGGGACC